UACAUGGGGUGCAAACGUUGCUCGGAAUUAUUGGGCGUAAAGCGCACGUAGGCGGUUCGUUAAGUCGGAUGUGAAAGCCCUCGGCUCAACUGAGGAAGUGCGUCCGAAACUGACAAGCUAGAGUACGAAAGAGGGUCGCGGAAUUCCCGGUGUAGAGGUGAAAUUCGUAGAUAUCGGGAGGAACACCGGUGGCGAAGGCGGCGACCUGGGUCGAUACUGACGCUGAGGUGCGAAAGCGUGGGGAGCAAACAGG
rnacentral:rRNA from 1 species